UUUCAAUAGCUCAGGAUGUGCUAGCAGGGAGCAUAAUCACUUAGGAUGAGUGGCCUAUGCUUAAGGAACGUAAUGGAUCUGCGGUGAGCCAAGGAUGAUAAACGGAGCUAAUGUAAAAGGAUGUUCAGGGACACAGGCCGGAGCGCCGGGUGAGUCGCCUUCAGGGCUGGAGGGACAGUAAGGACGGCGAAUUGCAGGAGGGAGAAACCGGGACGUUAGGUAAGUGCAGGGAGUGCGCUGUAAGGAUAUCCUUCGGCAGAAGGUGCGAAAAAAGGCGACAGGUUAAUCUGCCGCCUUUUUUCUUU
rnacentral:ncRNA from 1 species